UUUUUUUUGGAGAUUGUUCCACUUGGAGUCUUCUCAGUGACCCAGGACAGGGCCUUUCCUCAUCUGAGCAAUAUGAAGAAAUUGGAGAAGACAGUGUUUAAGGGAUUACAUAUCUAAAGUUAGUAUUUGCAAAAGCUGUAUUUGAGCACAAUCCAGACCCAGAAUUUUAGGCUGUUGGAAUUACUUUGUGCUGAGCUUCCCAACUAUUGUCCCCGAGUUCCUGUAAGUAUGACAGGCUGAGGGAAAAAUCAAAUCAGUUGGCUGGUAGGAUUUCUCCAGUGCUAAAUGCGAAUGGACAUUCUGAAACUUUCAUCACAACAGAGGCUAACAGUGAUAUUUGCUGCUGGUCUUGAGGACUAUAAAAGAAAGUCACAGGCCAAAUUCAGAUGAUUCUGAUGAGGUUCCUUGGUAUUGAAUCGGGUCAAUAUCUGAAGCAUUUUUCUAUGAAGCUAUAAUGUUUAUAAACAGAAUAAGGAAAUACAGCAGAUGUUCAUCUUGUCCUUCAUUCUUCCACUCAGAAGCAUUUUGUCAGACAGAUUCUUCGAAUCCUCUCUGAAUCCUCAAUUGUUCUCCAGGGCAGUUUGUCAUGAGAAGCUCCAAGCAGGAGCCAUUUAGUAAUUCUUAGACCUAGUGCCUAACUCUCCCUGCCUGAAAGAGCUUCUUAAAGACUCAAAUUUCCUUUGGCUUUAGUGAAAUGUUAUGACAGCUUUGCAAACAGAGUGCAUGGCUUUUAUUCUCAAAGAAGGGAAGUAAAAGUUUCUGUUAAAAAGUAUCUAAUUAGUUUUGUUUCUCAAAAAAGAAAAGGACACAUUUUAUGUUCUGCCUGAGGGAGUCAUGCUUCUCCUUUCUAGAUUGUCUAUUUUCUUCUCUGGGCCUGGGCUUAUAGUUUUAAAGGGUUCUCAAAAACAGUGACAGUGAAACAGAGGAGGCAAUAGCCAAAGUCAGAGAUGUUAAGAUAACACAUUUCACUGCUUACUCACUUCUGUUUUCAUUUGCAUUGGUGUCAGAUUCAUUAAGGAUUAUUUUCAUGGAGCUAAGGCUUAAUAAGUAAAUAUUGGUGCUUUAUUAAUAAUAAUAGUACUUAUUAAUAGCUAAGUAAUAGUAAAUAAGUAAAUAAUAGUAAAUAGUGGUUUUCUCUCUGAGAAAAUCAAGACCAACUAUGCCAAAAUCGCUGGACAAAGAAAGACAAAAUUCAAAAAGAAGAGGCAGGCAAAGGGGAUGUGAAAAAACAAAGCUAUCCAAGAAUACUCUAGGAUUAAUUUGCCUUCAAAUUUCUGUAGCACUGUGCUCUGCUUCCUAUAUCACUCGUUAACACUUGUUAAUCACACUUCUACUGUGAUUUCUCAAUGUAUGAGUGACAUCUUUUUCCCAGAGCAGGUUGCGGUUUGCAUUUACAAGGCUCCAGUGAGUGCAUUACUACACAUACAAAAGCAUUGCUACAACUUGCGCUCGGAGAAGGAUUGAAGGCUAGUUUGUGAUCUUAAUCUGUGAGCUCAAUCUGAUUUUAAUCUGUGAAAAGUGAAGGAAGCUUUCAUGAUAUACUUGGUCUUUGGAAGAAAUUUGACAGAAAGUCUGUUCAGUCAGUCUUUGAUUUCAGAAUGAUUUCAGCCUUGUGUAACCCUUCACAAAACUCAUUUGUAUGGAUGGAGCUCCACUGGCCUUAUCCUGGAGGGACACUGUCCUGGAUUUGAGCCAGAUUUCAGACAAAGCCAGCUUGGGUAUCUAACUGGUGAGACUUGGCAUGGUUGGUCUGGUGAAAUUAUUACUGACAAAUUCCUUUAGGAUCUAGCUGUGAACACAACAUGAAGUGUUCAACACCUAUUACCACAGGCUACCUUAUAAUUCAAGCCUAGUGACUUUUUGAUAAAAAUCUUUCAUUUCUUAUAAUCUCUAAUCAAAAUUUCUGUGUUAUGUUCAGUGCGUAUCAUUUUUUCAGGUAUUCUUUCUUCAUAAUCAUCAAAGCAUUAUCUCUCCUGGAAGUAACUACUGUCAAAACUUCAGCUCUUUUUGAUGGUACUGGCAGUUUGCAGAGUAAGAACUUUUGCAUCUUCCUAAUGUCUUGCUCACAUCCUGUACAGCUUUAUCUUUAGUGGGUCUCUUUAACUAUUCUACUUCUGAAUUUUCUUCUGUCUAAUUUACUUCUGAUAUAAGUUUGCUGCUUAUCAGCAGGUAAUUUUCAGACAGUAUCAUACAGGUCAUCUUCCUUCAGUGUCUGAAAUACCACAGGCCAGUAGAGGCUUUUGUUUAGUAAUAACAUCAGUUUCAAGUAAGCAAUUCCAGAGUUUUUAAGAUGUGUACAAUUCUGUGUAUUUUGAAGAAUAACUGAUAUGUGUCUGAAAUCUGUUUGUUUGUUGUUUUUUUGUUUUGGUAGCUUGUUAGUUUGUGUGUAUGUUUUUAUUCAUUUGUUGUAGACAUGUACUUACCAGUUUUUAUCUGACACUCCUCUCAAUUUUAGGAACAAAUAACCUAUAGUGUAUCAGAAAAAAAAGAGACUACCUCAUAUCUAAUACCCUUUACAACAUGUUUCCUGCUAAUUAAUUACUGAAAUACUUUUGGGAACCUUAAUUAUGUAAAUAAUGAUAAAAUAAGCUCAAUUGGUUGGAAUGUUUUUCUAAUCAUAUUUCUUUAAUAGGAGCUUUUUGAAUCUGAUGGCAUGAUUGUAAAAGUUUGAAAGAUAAAAAGCGUUCUCUUAUUCAACUUAAAGUCAUUUCAAGUUUGAUAAAAACACAUGAAAAUAAAAUGCUCAGUGAAUUUGAA